GCUCUUCCUUGGGAGUGAGCUAGCUUCACAUCAAGGACAACAUUGCCUUUUGGUGGGGCUGCCUGCCAGUUUGUGAACUUACUGACUCUCCAAGGAUGCAGCUUCUGCUAUGGUUGCUAAGAAUUGAAAGAAGCUGGGAUCUCAGAUGUUUAUUGGAGUGAAGUGAUGACAUACAACAUCCGCACAAAUGGAUUUUAGAUGGAUUUUUUGCAACACUGAUUCAGACCAAAAAGUAGAAUUUAUGGAAAUAUAAAAAGAAAGCCUCAGG